rnacentral:rRNA from 1 species
GACGAACGCUGGCGGCGUGCUUAACACAUGCAAGUCGAACGGAAAGGCCCUGCUUUUGUGGGGUGCUCGAGUGGCGAACGGGUGAGUAACACGUGAGUAACCUGCCCUUGACUUUGGGAUAACUUCAGGAAACUGGGGCUAAUACCGGAUAGGAGCUCCUGCUGCAUGGUGGGGGUUGGAAAGUUUCGGCGGUUGGGGAUGGACUCGCGGCUUAUCAGCUUGUUGGUGGGGUAGUGGCUUACCAAGGCUUUGACGGGUAGCCGGCCUGAGAGGGUGACCGGCCACAUUGGGACUCGGAUACAGCACAGACUCCUACGGGAGGCAGCAGUGGGGAAUAUUGCACAAUGGGCGGAAGCCUGAUGCAGCAACGCCGCGUGCGGGAUGACGGCCUUCGGGUUGUAAACCGCUUUCGCCUGUGACGAAGCGUGAGUGACGGUAAUGGGUAAAGAAGCACCGGCUAACUACGUG